rnacentral:rRNA from 1 species
CCUACGGGAGGCAGCAGUGAGGAAUAUUGGUCAAUGGACGAGAGUCUGAACCAGCCAAGUAGCGUGAAGGAUGACUGCCCUAUGGGUUGUAAACUUCUUUUAUAAAGGAAUAAAACGAGGCACGUGUGCCUUUUUGCAUGUACUUUAUGAAUAAGGAUCGGCUAACUCCGUGCCAGCAGCCGCGGUAAUACGGAGGAUCCGAGCGUUAUCCGGAUUUAUUGGGUUUAAAGGGAGCGUAGAUGGGUUGUUAAGUCAGUUGUGAAAGUUUGCGGCUCAACCGUAAAAUUGCAAUUGAUACUGGCAGGCUUGAGGACAGUUGAGGUAGGCGGAAUUCGUGGUGUAGCGGUGAAAUGCUUAGAUAUCACGAAGAACCCCGAUUGCGAAGGCAGCUUACGAAACUGUGACUGACAUUGAUGCUCGAAAGUGUGGGUAUCAAACAGGAUUAGUACCGGUAGUC